rnacentral:lncRNA from 1 species
UUCCGACCAGACUGUCAUCUCCUCAAAUCGAUUCCCGCCACUGCCUCACUAAUUAAUCACGGAUGAGCUACCGACGAUCCACCACUUCACCACCAGAAAAUCAUCAUCGAUGCUCGAUUCCUUGACGCUAAACUUGUCAUCGCUUCAAUCCUCACUACAGCCCUCGACAGGGUAGAUAUCAUGCAGCAACUUUGAGCUAAGUUUUUUGAAGUUCUCACCCAAAAGAACAUGUAGACUCCUCAUGUAAAUAGUUAGAAUUUGGAAUUUGUUACUUAUUACACAAUGUUUUGCUAACAUUUGCAAUAUGUUUCGGAUCAAACUUAUUAUUGAAGUUAUAAUAUUAUGCUUUCUAC